GACGAACGCUGGCGGCGUGCUUAACACAUGCAAGUCGAGCGACGCUCUUCCUUCGGGGAGAUGACGGAGCGGCGAACGGGUGAGUAACACGUGGGCAACCUGCCCCUAGCUCUGGGACAACACCGGGAAACCGGUGCUAAUACCGGAUACGACAUCGAGCGGCAUCUCUCGAUGUGGAAAGUUUUUUCGGCUAGGGAUGGGCCCGCGGCCUAUCAGCUUGUUGGUGGGGUAAUGGCCCACCAAGGCGACGACGGGUAGCCGGCCUGAGAGGGCGCCCGGCCACACUGGGACGGAGACACGGCCCAGACUCCUACGGGAGGCAGCAGUGGGGAAUAUUGCGCAAUGGGCGAAAGCCUGACGCAGCGACGCCGCGUGAGGGAUGACGGCCUUCGGGUUGUAAACCUCUUUCAGCAGGGACGAAUUCAGACGGUACCUGCAGAAGAAGCACCGGCCAACUACGUG
rnacentral:rRNA from 1 species